rnacentral:rRNA from 1 species
CAUGCCGUAAACGAUGAGAACUAGAUGUGUGAGGUAUUGACCCCUUACGUGUCGCAGCUAACGCAGUAAGUUCUCCGCCUGGGAAGUACGGCCGCAAGGUUAAAACUCAAAGGAAUUGACGGGGGCCCGCACAAGCGGUGGAGCAUGUGGUUUAAUUCGACGCAACGCGAAGAACCUUACCUAGGUUUGACAUCUGUAGAAGUUGGCUGAAAGGUUGAUGUGCCCGCAAGGGAGCUACAAGACAGGUGC